UGGUGGCGCACACCUUUAAUCCCAGCACUCAGGAGGCCGAGGCAGGAGGAUCUCUGUGAGUUCCAAGACAGCCAGGACUACACAGAGAAUUACAACAGAAGAAGCAAAAAAUCUCUGUCUCCAAUGGGAGUGAGAUGCCAGCAUCACCCAAAAGAGUGUGAGGACCAGAUAGUGAAGGGAUGCCUGACUUCCACGCUGCUGUGUUUCCGCUUCCAGUUACUGGACCGUGUGUGUAUAUACACUAACACCUCCCAGCUUUGGUUUUUACACCUUACAGCCAAAGCACCCACCCCUGGCUGUCUGCUAAGCAGUUUGCACCAUGGCCUUCCUUCUCAAGCUAAAACCAACUGCUCUGGCAGAAAGUCUUCCACUGAAACCAGCUGUCCUGCUGGGCCUCCCAGAGCUCAACCUCAGGAAGCAUUGGCCCCAAAUCUGUUGUGGGAGGCACAUCUGAUGCUCAGUUCCCUGAGAUCCAAGGCCACGGUCUUUCCUCCCCUCCUUCUCUGACUCUUUGCCAGAACCCCUGUUGGUGCCCAGAACAGAAGGGACCAGAAGACACCGAGGAUCCCGGUGGGCUGAGUUCUGGUGAAAUGAGUGUGGUUCCAUAUCAGGCCAUGAAGUAUCCUACUGUAUGAACUGCCGCCAACACAGCCAGCUCAGUGCUGGCCGGGCCUGGCCACUGACGUCAAGGCACAUGAAUAGCAAGCCCCCAGUUCAUCCCAAGAGGCCCACGGGAGGCCUAAGCACCUGACAGGCUGAAUCCCUGGAUCACUCACACUCAGGCUCAGCCUGGCACAAGCCAGCACUACCUCUCCUGGCACCCCCUCCACCAUCAGCCCUCUUGGGGAAUCUAGGCUUUUCGUUGCUCUCUGGACCUCACACCCCAGCAGUGGCUCCACCUUCUCUCCCCACCGUCAAGCACACUGGCUUUGUUCCUCUACUCCUGCCUUAUCCCUUAGCACUUUCUGUGGAGACGGAUGAGUUGCCAAGGCCCAUGAAUCCGCUGGAGAGGAGGAAGCUCUGGCUAAGGCUGCCCAGAGGACAAGAAGGAAGCCACCAUGUUGGACACAGAGCCUACCCUUCUCCUAGAAACCCAACCAACAGCCAUGAUAGCUCCACAUCCCGCAAACAGGGAGACAGCAGGUGUUUAGCUGAGACUUAGCAGCUAUCCGUGCACUGUGAGCAUCUGAUGACCGCUGAGAACACGUGACAAUAGCAUCCUUUCCCGUCGGUGCUUCUCAGGGCUCUCUAAAAAGAACCACACAGCCACCCCUUCCCGUGGCUCUGUGUGUUCCAUCAGCCAGAGCCAUGAGUGACGUUGCUCUUCAGUGCACCCUUCCAGCUGUUCCUGUCUUAUGCAAAGGAAGAACGAGAGCUCUACAGUGACCUAGAGGCCUAUGACCUCUGCCCUGCUUCCCCUGUGACCUCAUCUCUUCUCUUCUAUCACCUUGACUACCCUGUCCACUUUAGAACUCUUGCUCCUCUUGGGCCACCCCCGUGUCCCUCCUGUUCCUGUCCUUCGUGUUCUGUCUUCCUGGACACCUUGCUCUGAUGUGAUCAAGGCUCACUCCGGCUCCCCACUGCCGACUGUUCCUGUCCUUCGUGUUCUGUCUUCCCGGACACCUUGCUCUGAUGUGAUCAAGGCUCACUCCGGCUCCCCACUGCCGACUGUCUCCCACUUAGUCUUGCUUGUUCGCUCGCCCUAGUUUUAUUUUCCUUCGCUGCAUCUACUGUUUUCCAAUACGCCGCAUAACUUUCUUAGUUUCUUGUGGGUUGGAAUUUGCUUCCUUAGCACCAAGAAUAGCUAUUUGUGUGGAUGGACACAGAAUGGAUGGAUGGAAAACAGUCGGAUGGAAGAUUUUUUUUUCAACUUGGUAACAGAAUAGUUCCAUAAGACAAGAGAAGUGGCAUUGAGCCAUGUCCUGAUGCCGGGACUUAACCUCCACAGGCCUACUUCUCGUGUGACUAAAGGGCCCUAGAAGAGCUGCUUUCCGAACUGACUGUGUGAUAACCAAUUGAGCUGAGUUACUGAAUAAAAUCUCCUCCCCUUGAAGACAUUAGGAUCCAAUUAGAGGACGAGAUGAGUGGGCAGGAAGCCAGAACUAGCACCCAGCAUCAGCCUGAGAAGGA